rnacentral:rRNA from 1 species
UGGGGAAUUUUGGACAAUGGGGCAACCCUGAUCCAGCAAUGCCGCGUGAGUGAAGAAGGCCUUCGGGUUGUAAAGCUCUUUUGUCCGGGAAGAGAUCCCAUCCCUGAAUACGGGGUGGGGAUGACGGUACUGGAAGAAUAAGCACCGGCUAACUACGUGCCAGCAGCCGCGGUAAUACGUAGGGUGCAAGCGUUAAUCGGAAUUACUGGGCGUAAAGCGUGCGCAGGCGGUUGUGCAAGACCGAUGUGAAAUCCCCGGGCUUAACCUGGGAACUGCAUUGGUGACUGCACGGCUAGAGUGUGUCAGAGGGGGGUAGAAUUCCACGUGUAGCAGUGAAAUGCGUAGAGAUGUGGAGGAAUACCGAUGGCGAAGGCAGCCCCCUGGGAUAACACUGACGCUCAUGCACGAAAGCGUGGGGAGCAAACGGGAUUAGAUACCCUGGUAGUCCACGCCCUAAACGAUGUCAACUAGUUGUCGGGGAUUAAUUUCCUUGGUAACGCACUAACGCGUGAAGUUGACCGCCU